CCCUGAUUUUAAUAAUCAGGGAAAGAGAAUAACAGAAAAAUCAGCGAAAAUGAGAGAGUCUCGCAUCAUGUCAUCCUUGCCAUGGAUAAAUUGUGUGAUUGUUUAACUAGGAGUAAGUUGUAGAAAUUGAGCUGCCAGAUCUGUUGGGUCCCCACAAAACCAUUUCAAAGUUCUAACAAGUCGUAACGAUAUCUUACCAACAGAAGUAUACAAUAACUCGGACAUAUCAUUUGUAAUAACAAUUGAUAAUUUAAAACAAAUAAAUCGAUGUAGUUACUUAUUUUUUGCACAAAAAAAUACAUUUUGAAUGAAAUAUUUAAAUAUCAAUGAAGGGAAAGGUUUUGGUACGGCAACAACGAAAUUGUGUACGUCAGCUGUUUGACAUUCAUUUACAUUGCGCUCUCAUGAGAUAGGUCGAUAGGCUGAUGCGGUGUGCGGUUUUGCGUCGGUCACUAACUGAAGCAUUAGAGUACAGAAGGUUACGACAACAGCAUAUGUCAUCGAACCAAGAAUGCUAGAUUACAAGAUUACGCCAACCGCCAUCUUGUGACGUAACUCCUUUGAGUUAAGAAGAAGAAGCAUAACAGCAUGUACAUUGUAAAUAAAAACGUAAACACUUUUGUUAAUUCGAAAAAUAUACUUUAUUUAUUAGGUAAUAGUGAAAAAGUUUUUGUGAAAUUAAUAUAUUAAUGUUGCGGGAAAAUAUUUUGGUAAUUAUUUAAUAAAUACUUUUAUCUAUUGACAACAUAAUUGCCAAUUAAGUGAAUGAUUAGAAAGAAUUAAAACUAGUACCGAAGGAUUAUAUGGAUAACUACAAUAUAUGACGAUUUACGUUUUUAUCAUCGUUAGAGAACUGCAACAGAGGUGUUGCGAUACAUCCUUGACGGGGGUGAUGUUCACAUACCAUUGAUUGACUUUAAUGUAAAUUUUGAGAGGAUGCGUCCUACUGCAAUUUCUUCGUGAAAAAUUCUUUUUAGAUAUGAAUAACGACUGGAAAAUUGCCACGACUAAUCAAGAACAACGAUUGAAGCUCUAUACUCCAGAUACACUUUUUAGAAUCACGAACAUAUGUUUCAGACUUCAGUUACUAUAAAGCUAUAAUAUCCGCUAUGCCUAUACAUGCUCCGACUGAAGAUAAUGUACAAAUUGGAGAAAUAAAUUAUAUAUUAAAUUUGCGACUUAUUUAAUUUAUUUUUUAUCUGAAACAACGAUGUGGAUAUGGAGAGUCAGAAGACUGCUUAUAUGCUGAGUAAAAAUCAAUUUACUAUGAUUGCACCAUUUUAUUAAAUUUCUAGCUCUUUCAAACAAAAUAAUAGCUCAAUUAUCGAUACUACUACAAAAUACUACACUCAGAAAUUUGAAUUUUCGAUUCUAACUUUAGAACAUUUAAUGUAUGGCAUUGUAAAAUCUGAUUCUAAUUUCUGGAAAUUAGAAUUACUGAAGGUUCUAAUUUGUGAGCGUCGACUGUAAUUUAACUUUAGUAAGUAUCACUUGCUUAAUGAUGUAGUUACAUUGUAAUUGGUGUUUGUGAAUGCUAAUAUUUGUUCAUGAUUAAUUAUUUACGGUGAUCGGCUUUUUGUAGCAGCGCUUACUGUUGUCGACGCAUUCCCUUUUUUCACUUGUAAUAAAUUUUUAAUUUAAUUAAAAUGUUUUUUAUUCAGCUGGGAAUGGUAUGAGCCUGUUGUAUUACCACUCGUGAUAUUACUCAACUAAUCAUUUCAAUAAAACAAAAUGUAAUGUUAUUACAAUAUACCUUUGCAUAUAUGCAUAUACAACACUGCUUAAACUCUAAGAGCAACACUUGACGAAGUAUUGCUUCGGCACUGGCGACGACCAACAGUGACAACGAUGGAGAACAACGGAAUAAUGUUCAGUGCUCACAGCGAAGAGCGUUUGUUAGCAGAAUGAAAUUGAAGCCAGUUUACUAUAAUUUUCGUAACUAACAGCAGAGGGUUGAAUGUUGAGCUCUUACAGUGCCCUCCUUUCUUCAUUGAAGAAUAUAACAGUUAUGCAGUAAGGGCUCUCUCGAAUGUCUCUUUAAUUUUAGAGCUCAUUUAACGAUGAACUCCUGUUUUUAGGAUGUACUGAUAACAUAUGCAUACUUAUUUGGGUAAAUACUUGAGUAAAUAUUGGAAUUCAUUACAAGUAGUUACUAAGGCGGAUAUUAUUUUAUGGCACAGCGAAAACAUUUUCGUAUGGAACUUAUUUAUUAAUACAGCAUAUUACUUUGUUCUCUGUUAAAGUUGAUAAAAAAAUGUUAGAAUAAAUAUUUGUGCUGCGCA